AUCUUUUUUUCUUUUAUCAGACAUGUUAUUAUUUGUCACUAAAAAUAUACUUGGCACAGUCGAUUGAAAAUCAAAAGCGAAUCUUUUUAAAAGUUUUAUCUGUACAUUUGUUCAACACGAACGGCCUGUUCGUCCGAUCUGGGUUUACUCGGAGCAGACUCAAGCAAACCUGGCCAAUCACCGUCUUGCUUUCUGUCUUAAUACUAAAUUAGUAUUUGCUUUGGUGCUUAUAGCGCUUGAAGCAUUAUUUCAACCUUGUUGUUUAUUAAAUAUUAAACAAAAACAAAUGAUACUCUUACGAGCGCUGCGAGUGCCAAAGCGAACGCAGCCAUACACUCGCAUGCAUAUAUAUAUAUACAUAUAUAUAUAUGUAUAUAAUGCAUGCGCAGAGGAGAACGUAUCAUACGUAUGGAUAGACGUAGCCGGUCUUUGUUUCACGCGUGUUAUCUCGGCAUCCCUAAUUUUGUUGAUUCUGUUAUUAGUGCCACAGAUUUUUACUGUGCACAUCAUGUUUAUUAUUAAUUGUAAGAACGAUGGUUCUUAUUGCCUAGUGAAUGAUAACGCGGUGAUUUGUGAUUACGAAAGUGUAAAGAAAGGAGAUGCAGUCACAUUUUUUUACAAUCAAAAAUCAUACCAGGGAGUUGUUAUUAUGCGAUCUGAUAACGUAUCAUCCAUAGAAGAAGAAUUUCAGAAGUUAAAUAAACGUCAAAAACUGAGAAAAACUAAUCGAAAACGAGAGGCAUCAAAUAGUCCAGAUGAUAAUUGUGAUAGUGACGUACAGCAAAGUGAUGAACCUGCACUGAGCCAAAAAAAGAAAAAUUCUUCAAAGGACGAUCAAAUCAAAAAGUCUGGUACAAAAAGAAAUGUAAAGGGGAAAAAGAUAGAUGUAAAAAAAAAUAGUAUAGCACAUCAGAGGCAAGUGCAGACAACUUUUAAUCAUAAAUAUAAGGCUCAAAACGAUGUACAUGCACAGCUAUCGUUGUCGUCUGAUACGAGCACUGAUGAAGAAAAUACCGAAACAAGAAAGACCCAGUACUCAGCUACAAAGAAAGCUGACAUUAGGGCUUUAAAUACAUUGAAUGUCACAAAAAAAAGGGAAGGCAGUCCUACCAAAGAAGAACUCAAACGACUACUGCAAAUAGCAUUGGACAAGUCAUCAAAAUCGUUAGAGGAUGAUAUUGAUACUUCUGGUGACGACACAAAUUCGUCGAUACAAUUACAGCAUGACAUUGCUACAAAAUCUAACAACAACGAUAAUAGUACUAGCGACAACAAUAAGGAUGAGGCUGACAAAGAAAAUGAUAUGUUUGUAUUGCCGGAUGAUAGUACCGAUCAAUUAUUUGGAAAAAAUUGCCCAGACGAUAAGAUGAUGCUGUUAAUGAGUGAGACUGCCAAAAACGCGUCCUUAUGUCAGCGAUAGCAUCGUCACUUAAACCAUCUCAUCUAGCUCGUCGACUACUUUCUGGCGUUUUUAAGCCUGAAGCUCUUUUGCGGUGUACGAUAACAGGUCAAUCUGUUCGAUCGCUAGGAAAGACUCGAUAUGAAGAAAAAUUCGACUGCCUUGAUCCUAUCGCACGAGAUGCUAUUAUUGAUUAUUCUAUAAAACAUGGAGUUGCAAAACAGUGGCCGACACAA
rnacentral:misc_RNA from 1 species